rnacentral:rRNA from 1 species
AAGUCGUAACAAGGUUUCCGUAGGUGAACCUGCGGAAGGAUCAUUAUUGAAUUUAUGGAGGGGGUUGCUGCUGGCCUUUCGAGGCAUGUGCACGCUCCUGUUCAAAUCCAUUUCACCCCUGUGCACUUUUGUAGGCCAAAUUUAUUUUUGGUCUAUGUUUUUUACACACCCUUAUAAAUUUUUUGAAUGUCAUUAUGUAGGCUUGAUAAAAGCUGAAAUAAAUUAAUACAACUUUCAACAACGGAUCUCUUGGCUCUCGCAUCGAUGAAGAACGCAGCGAAAUGCGAUAAGUAAUGUGAAUUGCAGAAUUCAGUGAAUCAUCGAAUCUUUGAACGCACCUUGCGCUCCUUGGUAUUCCGAGGAGCAUGCCUGUUUGAGUAUCAUUAAAUUCUCAACUUCAUCAGGUUGUAAUGACUUGCAUGAAGCUUGGAUUUGGAGUGUGCUGGCUUUAACAAAGUCAGCUCCUCUUGAAUGCAUUAGCAAAACCCUACAAAAGUGGAUAGGCUUUGGUUUGAUAAUUAUCUAUGCCAUCGCUGUGAAGCAUUUGUACUUUGAGUUGUUUUGCUUCUAAUCGUCAUCUUCGGAAGACAAUACUUUGAACCUUGAUCUCAAAUCAGGUAGGACUACCCGCUGAACUUAA